rnacentral:rRNA from 1 species
AGAGUUGAUCCUGGCUUAGGAUGAACGCUGGCGGCGUGCUUAACACAUGCAAGUCGAACGAAGCAAUUCUUACGAUCCCUCGGGGUGACGAGUUAUGACUGAGUGGCGGACGGGUGAGUAACGCGUGGGUAACCUGCCUUGUACAGGGGGACAACAGUUGGAAACGACUGCUAAUACCGCAUAAGCGCACAGCUUCGCAUGAAGCAGUGUGAAAAGUUAUUUCGGUACAAGAUGGACCCGCGUCUGAUUAGCUAGUUGGUGAGGUAACGGCCCACCAAGGCGACGAUCAGUAGCCGACCUGAGAGGGUGACCGGCCACAUUGGGACUGAGACACGGCCCAAACUCCUACGGGAGGCAGCAGUGGGGAAUAUUGCACAAUGGGCGCAAGCCUGAUGCAAGCGACGCCGCGUGAGCGAAGAAGUAUUUCGGUAUGUAAAGCUCUAUCAGCAGGGAAGAUAAUGACGGUACCUGACUAAGAAGCACCGGCUAAAUACGUGCCAGCCGCGGC